UAGGUCUGAAGUGGGCCUCUUGUAGACAGCAUAUAUAUGGGUCUUGUUUUUGUAUCCAUUCAACCAGUCUGCAUUUAGUCCACUUACAUUCAAGGUAAUUAUCGAUAUGUAUGUUCCUAUUACCAUUUUCUUAAUUGUUUUGUUGUUGUUUUUUUUUUUUGUAGGUCCUUUUCUUCUCUUAUGUUUCCCACUUAGAGAAGUUCCUUUAGCAUUUGUUGUAGGGCUGGUUUGGUGGUGCUGAAUUCUCUUAGCUCUUGGUUGUCCGUAAAGCUUUUGAUUUCUCCGUCAAAUCUGAAUGAGAUCCUUGCUGGGUAGAGUAUUCUUGGUUGUAGGUUCUUCCCUUUCAUCAUUUGAAAUAUAUUGUGCCACUCCCUUCUGGCUUGCAGAGUUUCUGCUGAGAAAUCAGCUGUUACCCUUAUGGGAGUUCCCUUGUAUGUUAUUUGUCAUUUUUCCCUUGUUGCUUUUAAUAACAUUUCUCUGUCUUUAAUUUUUGUCAGUUUGACUACUAUAUGUCUUGGUGUGUUUCUCCUUGGGUUUAUCCUGCCUGGGACUCUCUGCACUUCCUGCACUUGGGUAGCUAUUUCCCUUCCCAUGUUAGGGAAGUUUUCAACUAUAAUCUCUUCCAAUAUUUUCUCCGGUCCUUUCUCUCUCUCUUCUCCUUCUGGGACCCCUAUAAUGCGAAUGUUGGUGCAUUUAACAUUGUCCCGGAAGAAUCUUAGGCUGUCUUCACUUCUUUUCAUUCUUUUUUCCUUAUUUUUUUCUGCAUCAGUGAUUUUCACCAUUUUGUCUUCCACGUCACUUAUUCACCCUUCUGCCUCAGUUAAUCUGCUGUUGGUUCCUUCUAGUGUAUUUUUCAUUUCAGUUAUUGUAUUGCAGACCUCUGUUUGUUUGGUCUUUAUUCUCCUAGGUCUUUGGUAAACUUUUCGAUCUUUGCAUCCAGUCUUUUUUCAAAGUCCUGGAUCAUCUUCACCAUCAAUAUUCUGAAUUCUUUUUCUGGAAGGGUGCCUAUCUCCUCUUCAUUUAGUUGUUUUUCUGGGGUUUUAUCCUGUCCCUUCAUCUGGUACAAAGUCCUCUGCUUUUUCAUUUUCUCUGUCUUUCUGUGGCUGUGGUUUUCAGUUCCACAAGACGAAAUACUGCUGAUACUGCUGUCUGCCCUCUUGAGGAGGAAGCUAUCUCUGUUUGUUCUCUUUUUAAUUGAAGUAUAGCUGAUUUACAAUGUUGUGUUAGUUCCAGGUGUAGAGCAAAGUGAUUCAAUUUUACAUGUAACAUUCUUUUGCAGAUUCUUUCCCCUUAUUACAAAAUAUAAAGUGUAGUUCCCUGUGCUAUACAGUAAGUCCUUGUUGGUUAUCUAUUUUAUAUAUAGUAGUGUGUACAUGUUAAUCCCAAGCUCUUAAUUUAUCUCUCCCAAACUUCCCCUUUGGUAACCAUAAGUUUGUUUUCUAUAUAUGUUAGUCUUAACUAAGUUCAUUUGUAUCAUUUUUUUAUAUUCCACAUAUAAUUGAUAUCAUAUGAUAUUUGUCUCCUUCUGUCUGGUUUACUUCAUUUAGUAUGAUAAUCUCUAGGUCCAUCCAUGUUGCUACAAAUGGUAUUAUUUCAUUCUUUUUUUAUGGCUGAGUAAUAUUCUAUUGUAUAUAUAUACCACAUCUUCUUUAUCCAUUCAUCUCUUGAUGGACAUUUAGGUUGCUUCCAUGUCUUGGCCAUCAUAAAUAGUAGCACUAUUUAUGAAGUAUAUCAUGCUGUUUUGAUUACUGGAGUUUUGUAAUAUAGUCUGAAGACAAGGAAGGUGACACAUUAAGCUUUGUUCUUUUUUUCUCAGGAUUGAAAUUCUGGGUGUUUUGUGGUUCCAUUUGAAUUUUAGGAUUAUUUGUCCUAGUUCCAUGAAAAAUGUCAUGGGUAUUUGUUAGGGAUUCCAUUGAAUCUGUAGAUUGCUUUGGGAAGUAUGACUAUUUUAACAAUAUUAAUUCUUCCAAGAGCACGGGGUGGCUUUCCACUUCUUUGUAUUGUCUUCAGAUUCCUUUAUCAGUGUUUUACAGUUUUCAGUGUAUAGAUCUUUCACCUCCUUGGUUAAGUUUAUUCCUAGGUAUUGUAUUGUUUUUGACACUUAAGUUGGAUUUUUUUUUGUUUUACUAUUUCUUAUAUUUCAUUAUUAGUGUAAAGAAACAAUGUAUUUCUGUAUAUUAAUCUUGUAUCCUGCAACUUUGCUGAAUUCAUUUAUUAGCUUAUAUUUUUGGGGUGGACACUUUAGGAUUUUCUAUACAGAGUAUCAUUUCAUCUGCAAAUAGUGACAGUUUUACCUGUUCCCUUCCAGUGUGGAUACCUUUUAUUUCCUUUUCUUAUUUGAUUGUGGUGGCUAGGAUUCCCAACACUAUAUUAAAUAGAAGUGGCAAGAGUAGGCAUCUUUUACAUGUUUCUGAAUAUUCAGAGGAAAGGCUUUUGGCUUUUCACCUUUGAGUAUUAUGUUGAUUGUGGGUUUGUCAUAAAUAGCCUUCAUUAUAUUGAGAUAUGUUCUCUGUACACUCUCAUACUUUGAUAGGUAUUUUUUAUGAAGGGCUGUUGAAUUUUGCCAGUUUUUCUGAGUAUUGAAAUAAUCAUGUGAUUUUUAUCCUUCCUUUUGUUAACAUGGUGUAUCACAUUGAUUGACUUGCUAGUGUUGAACCAUCCUUGUGACCCUGGAAUAAAUCCAACUUGAUUAUAGUGUAUGAUCCUUUUUAUUUAUUUUUGGAUUUGGUUUGCUAAUACUUUUCUGAGGAUUUUUGCAUCUAUAUUCAUCAAAUAUAUUGACCUGUAAUUUCUUUUUUUGUAGUAUCUUUGUCUGGUUUUGGUAUCGGUAGUUGUUGCCUCGUAAAAUGAAUUUGGGAGUGUUCCUUCCUCUAAAAUUUUUUGGAAUAGUUUGAGGAUAGGUGUUAAUUUUUCUUUCUGUGUUUCAUAGAAUUCCCUAGUGAAGCUUCCAGUCCUGGACUUGUGUUUGCAGGGAGUUUUUUAAAUUACAGAUUCUGUUUCACUUCCAGUGAUCAGUUUGUUCAAAUUAUCUUGACUCAGUCUUGGCAGGUCACUGUUUCUGGAAACUUGUCCAUUUUUUUCUAGCUUGUCCAAUUUGUUGGCAUAUAACUAUUCAAAAAAUUUUUUUCUUUUUCUUUUUUUAAUAUUGUUUUUUGGCCAUGCCGCAUGGCAUGCAGGAUCUUAGUUCCCUGACCAGGGAUAGAACCCGUGCCCCCUGCAGUACUGGACCAGGGAACAGGGAAGUCCCUGUUCAUAGUAUUCUGUCAUGAUUUUUUUGUAUUUCUGUGGUAUUGGUUAUUUCUCCUCUUUCAUUUCUUAUUUUGUUUAUUUGGAUCCUGUCUCUCUUCUUUUUGGUAAGCCUGGAUAAUGGCCGUACAUUUUUUUUUUUAAUCUUUUCACAAAUCAGCUGUUGGUUUCAUUGAUCUUUUCUAUUGUUUUUUUAAAAUCUCUUUUAUUUAUUUCCUCUCUGAUCUUUAUUAUUCCCUUCUGCUGACUUUGGGCUUUGUUUGUUCUUCUUUUUCUAAUUGUUUUAGGUGGUAUGUUAGGUUGGGUUUUUUGAGAUUUGUUUCUUAUUUCUUGAGGAAGGCUUGUAUCGAUAUGAACUUCCCUUUUAGAACUGUUUUUGCUGCAUCCCAUAGAUUUGGUAAUGCUGUGUUUUCAUUUUCUUUUGUCACAAGGAGCUUUCUGAUUUCUUCUUUGAUUUCAUCAUUGACCCAUUGGUUUUAAAGUAGCAUGUUGUUUAGUCUCUCUGUUUUCCUUCUUUUCUUGUUUUCUUCCUGUAGUUGACUUCUAGUUUCAAAUGUGGUCAGAGAAGAUGCUUGAAGUAAUUUCUGUUCUCUUCUUUGUUGAGGCUUGUUUUGUGACCUAGUAUGUGGUCUAUCCUAAAGAACAUUAUAUGCUUGAAAAGAAUGUAUAUUUUGGGUUUUUUUGGAUGUAGUGUCCUGUAAAUAUCAAUGCCAUCCAAUAUCAGUGGUUUAUUGUGUCAUUUAGGAUCUCUGUUGCCUUACUGAUUUUCUAUCUGGAUGAUCAGUCCAUUGAUAUUAGUGGGGUCUUAAAGUCUCCUAAUAUUAUUGCAUUGUCAGUUUCUCCCUCUAUGUCUAUUAGUAUUUGCUUUAUAUAUUUAGGUGCUCCUGUAUUGGGUGCAUAUAUGUUAACAAAUGUUAUAUCCUCCUUUUGUAUUUAUCCCUUUAUCAUUAUAUAAUGCCCUUCCUUGUCUUUCUUUAUGGCCUUUGUUUUAAAGUCUGUUUUGUUUGAUACGAGUAUUGCUACCCCCUUUCUUUACUAUUUGCAUAAAAUAUCUUUUUCCAUCCCCUUACUGUCAAUCUGUGUCUUUUGCCCUGAAGUGAGUCUCUUGCAGGCAGCAUCUUGCAGGUUUAGUCUGUUGAUGUUUAAGUAAUUAUUGAUAGGUGUGUAUUUAUUGCUAUCUUAAUCUUUGCUUUCCAGUUGUUUUUGUAACCCUUUUUCCCCCUUCAUUUUUUUCUUUUUUCAUAUGCUUGAGUUCCUUUCUUUUUAUUUUAUUUUUUGUGACUCUAUUGUAUGUUUUUGCUUUGUAGUUAAUUACCGUGGAGUUCAAGUAUGCUGACCCAUAACUAUAUCUACUUGCUUUAAACUGAUAGUCAUUCAAGUUAAAAAAUAUUCUAAAAGCUGUAUAUAUUUAUACUUCCUCCUCCCAGAUUGUUAUUUUGAUGCCCUCUUUUACAUCUUCAUGUUUAUCCUUUCACUGUUUAUUGUAGUUAUAGCUUUUACAAUUUUUAACAUUGAUUUUUUAAUGUACAUACUGGCUUAUUUAAGUGAUCAUCAAUCUUUACUGUAUAUUUGCCUUUCCUAUUGUGAUUUCCCCUUUCCUAUAGAUUCUGUGUAGCAGUAUUGGGAGUCUGGGCUGUUGUAGUCAAGACUGCUGCUGAACUGGUGAGUGAGGGAUGGGACCAGGCCAAAUUAAAAUGCCACAAAGCUCUGAGAUGUACUUGGUUAUUUUUUCUUUUCUAUUAUGAUUUAUUACAGGAUAUUGAAUAUAUUAUUUGUGCUAUACAGUAGGACCUUGUUGUUUAUCCAUUCUAUAUGUAAUAGUUUUCACCUGCUAAUCCCAAAUUCUCAAUCCAUCCCUCCCCCACCUCAUCCCCUUGGCAACCACAGGUCUGUUUUCGAUAUCUGUGUCUCUUUCUGUUUCACAGAUAAGUUCAUUUGUGUCAUAUUUUAGAUUCCACAUGUAAGUGUUAUCAUGUGGUAUUUGUCUUUCUCUUUCUGACUUACUUCACUUAGUAUGAUAACACUUGUUUUUUCUUGAUUCAGCAUUUCUCUGAAUGCUGUAACCUUUUGAUUAGUUUCCAGAUUUUUGAAAAAGUUGAUUCUAUCAGUUUUUACCAGUCUGUUAAAUACUUUUGUGGAUGGAUGGACUGCUGUAUUUUCCUACUCUGCUAUUUUUCUCUUUAUUGCAUUUGUGGGUCUAUCUCUUGUUUUUUUUUUGAGUUGCUCUAGGCAUGACAUAAUAUAUACAGGUGUCCCCUGGCAUCCACAGUGUAUUAGUGCCUGGACUCCCUGCAUAUACCAAAAUCCACAGAUGCUCAAGUCCCUACUUACAUAAAAUUGUGUAGUACUUGCAUAUAACCUACAUACAUGCUUGUAUACUAUAAAUUACCUCCAGAUUACUUAUAAUACUUAACACAGUGUAAAUGCUAUGUAAAUAGUUGCCAGCAUGUGGCAAAUUCAAGUUUUGCUUUUUAGAAUUUUGUGGAAUUUUUUUUCAAAUAUUUUCAACCUGUGGAUGUGGAACCCACAGGCAUGGAGGGCCAACUGUACAUAACUUAUUGAAAUAUAAUGGUUCAACAUUUAUCCAGUUUAAGUGUAGAAACCUUACUUUCCUUCAUACUCUCUCAUUUCUAAUUGACUUGAAUAUUUCUUCUAUAUACAUUGAAGACCACACUAGACAGUGUUAUGAUUUUUGUUUCAACUAUCAAACUUAAUUAAGGAAAGGAAAGCCUAUUGUUGUACCCAAAGUUUUGCUCUUAUAGUGUUCUUUCUGUGUUCCUUGUUUUCCACAAUUCUUUAAUGUUUCGUUUUUAUUUAGAGGUAUUUCUUUAGGCAUUCUUUGGGGGUAGGUCUGUUGGCAACAAAUUCUGCAACAAGUCAUUCUUUGGGGUAUGUCAUUAGAAGUCAUUUUCAUCUGAGGCUGUUCUUGAUUUCUCAUUUCCUGAACAAUAUUUUUAUUGGUUAUGGAAGGUCAGGCUCCCUAUUUAGUCACCAUUGACACUGUACUGGUAGUGGAGGGGCCCAUUAAAGUGGACUUCAUACUAAGCUUUUUCUGACACAAUCUGGUGGGGACAUUGAGGAUACUUAUUUUACAGCCCGAUAAAGGUCAGAAGGCUAGAGUCUCCAUUUGCCCUCUGGUGUUGGUGGUGUGGAUAGGGCCACAGAUUUUUUGGUGGCAUUUGCCUGAAGUAGAGUAGUUGUUUAAAAGUUUCGUGUCUUGGUAGGCUGUCCUUUCCUGCUUCUCUGGUUCCCGACAGGCUUUUCUUGAGACUUUUUUUGGUCUAUACACAUUAGCAUUUCAGUUACCAGCUUCUUUAGGUCCAAGUUUGGGAUAUAAGUGAAACCUGUGGGACUCACCACCAUGUUGCUCCUUAGGUCCUGUGGUUCCUAACUUCUCUUCAUCUUUCAGAGUCAUCUUGUAUGUUUUAUAUAUAAUGUCCAGAGUUUUGAGUUGUGUUUAGCAGGAAGAACAGGGAAAAGGACAUGUAUUUCAUCUUUUUAGAAAUAGAAGUCCCUCUACUAUUUUUGCAAAAGCAUUUAAAUAAUUUGUGUACUCUCUAGUUGAUUCUAUUUUGGGGAUAUAUCAUAUCUGUUCACAUCAUUUUGAGGAUGCUAUUCAUACUUUAAAGUCCUGUUCAUUCUAUGGUUGACUUGGUAGUAUUUCCAGUUGGUCAGCUUUGUAUCUCUGUUAUUUGAGAAUCAACUUUUAUCAAAUGUUUGGUAAUUCUAACAUAUACUCAGUUUUACAGUUGAGGAUCCUUUCGAUGUAAUCUGCUUCUGGGCAGGAAUAGGAUGUGCUGCCUUGCUUUGUACUCUGAUUUGUUUUUAGAGAGAGACAGGCCAGCAGGAGGUUUGUUGUGGUACAAGAUUCCUUGCCAGCUAGUCCUAGGUGUAGGGAUGCUCCUGUUUUUCCCAGAAUAAUACUAGUCAGUAGCCUCUCACAUUCUCCCAAAAGCAGACAAUAGUACUUGCUAACUGGUUGAAGAAGUGGUGAUAUGCUAGAUUAACAUACUUCUCUCAGCAAACAAUCUCACUGUUGCCACUGUCUCCAUUCAUGCUCCUUGUGACAAACCCUAGACAAAGAUCACCUUAUUGUGCCACACUUACUUUUUAAAGUGUGGUGUACAUUCUCACGUUCUGGUCUUAGAUCAUCUGGUUUCCUUUGAUGAUCUAUUUCAGGUAUUUUCAAAUAUUCACCAGAAGUUAUUUAGAUUUUCAGGAGCUGUUUAUAUAUUAGGUAUGUAUUGUAUGUAUAAUAGUCCCAGCACCAUUUAUUAAAAUCUAAACAAAAACAUUGAGAUGCCUUUGUUUUAGCAGUUGUUUAAGAAAUUACUCUUAUAAAGAGCUAAAUUUAAAGCCUUACAUCUGGAUUGUGCAUAGGCAUGUGUAUAUAUACAUACAAUAUAUACCAUCAAAUAUAAAACAUUUUGAUACUGGAACUGUUGAUCUUACCAGAAAAUAUCAGUGAAAGCUUUUUAUACAAAUAAAAAUCUUGGUUGGUAUUUAGUUGAAAGUAAUUAUAGGAUGCCAUGGAUUGUUAAAUUGCAUCAUCUUAAAAAUGUUAAAAUGAGAGAGCACUUUUUAGCUUUGAGAAAUCAGGACAGUAUCAGUGAUGGUACAGCUAAGAGUAUGAAUCUAGAAGAUAACUUGAUCAAUUCUCUUUUUUCAUUUAAGCUAGAUAUGUACAUAAUUAGAAAUUUCCAAUGCCUGCUUAUUUCAAAUCAGUGAUAAUUUACCAUAUAAUGUUUUUUUAUCAUUUUGCUGACAAAUAUUCUAUUUAGCUUUUUGCCUUUUAGUAACUAUUCUCUAGUUUUAUCACUUGGAUUACAUCAGUCAUGCAGCAUGAACUGGGAAAAUUCUGUUAAGAAUUAUCUCCUUGAAGUUUUUAUUCAAGGAGCUAAAAGAUUGUAAGUGCUGUUUUAUAAAAAGGAACUUUUUUGGCUAAAUUUAACUUUCCCAGUUAUUAACGGUCUUUUCUAUGUUUGACUAUGUUUUAUCAAUUUCAAUGAAGUUCAUUUUCUAGAAAAUAAUUCAUUAACUCUGGAAUCUUGUGUAUUGAAAUAAAUUUACAUAUUUCCUCAUAAAGAAUAACAUUGGUAUUUGUGUUAAUAUCCUAUUGUUAUUCAAGAUGCUGUAACUGUGUGUCAUUUUUCUUUUCUUUCCUUUUAUCAAAUUUGGAAAAACUGGGUAAGUCCUUGAGUCUGUUUUUUUAAAUUAAUUUCUAAUUUAAAUUGCAUUAACUACUUCCUUCUAUUAGUGCUUGUUUUAUUUUGUAAUUUUUUAACUUUAUUUUUCACUUGAAUGUUUUCUUUUUUCAAGUUUUAUCAAGUGCCUAAUAUAUGAGAAAGACAUUGGAAUAGGUGCUGAGGUAGAAAAGAUAACAAAAAGUCUCAUCCCUUUAUGCAUCAAAUGAUGUUAAUUUCACACUGAGUAGAGGUUUGGCUACAUCUCACAAAUCUUGAAAUAUAGACAUUUCAGUACCAGUCCUUUCUGAAUGGUUUAUAAUUUAAAAUUUGACUUUUAUAAAGUUUAACCUAUUACUUGUAUUAUACAUAUAGAUUAUUAUACAUUUCCUAGAGGCGGUGCAAAUUAUUACCCAGUUACUUACUAAUUGCAAAAAAAUAAGAUACUUUUAGAAUGAGAGAUCUGGCAGUUACAACCUUAACCAAGUGAUCAAAUUUAGCAUCACUAAUAUUGGGACAACCUGGCAUGUAUGCUUGUGUGUAUGAGCUGUACUAUGCCUGUGAAAUGUUCUUGCUAAAAUCAAGCUUUGACUUAAGUUCCAAUUUAGAAACGGUGUAACAAGAUGUACAACAUUAUGAGGAAAUAAAUUUGACAAACCAAGAAUACAAGACAUUCUAAGACAACUGUGGUGGACUCUUCAAAAAGACAUUACCAUGAAACAAAGAUGGGGGAGUGCUGUUCAGUUUAAAAGUGACAUAACCACUAACAUGCAUGAGCCUGGAGAGUGAAUCCUUGUUAAAUAUCUAUAAAAGAAAUCGGUCUGUCGAGAAACCAAGCACCACACUCAGAGGGUUGGAGAACUCAGGUUUAUUAAGCCGGUGGCCCCAGAUGAGCUAACGCUCCAAAGUUCUGGGUCCUGAGCUCAGGGGUUUCUUGCCUGUGUGAAUUUUUCUGAUGCUGUGUAAGGAAAAAAGAAAAAGUUGAAAAGCCUUUCCACAUUCUUGACAUUCAUAGGGUUUCUCACCAGUAUGAAAUCUCUGAUGCACA